rnacentral:misc_RNA from 1 species
UUUCCGUAGGUGAACCUGCGGAAGGAUCAUUAUUGUAUAACCGAGGUGCGAGGGCUGUCGCUGACCCGAAAGGUCGUGCACGCCCGAGUGCCCUCACACACAUCCAUCUCACCCCUAUGUGCACCACCGCGUGGGUCCCCCUUUGGCUUGUUCGGAGGGGGGCUUACGUUUUCACACAAACUUUGUAUGCAGUGUAGAAUGUAUUUUUUGUUUUUGCGAUCACGCAAUCAAUACAACUUUCAACAACGGAUCUCUCGGCUCUCGCAUCGAUGAGAACGCAGC